AUGUUGACACCCGGUCUUCAAAUGUACGAGCAUAAGAACAAAUGCACUUUACUGGAACAUGAUAUACCAGUGGUGUGUUUGGAUAUAUAUAAAAGGUCCCAUGGCAUGUAUUGUUCUAUUGCACGACAUGACAUCACCACUUCCAACAGUGCAUCAUUCUUCUUAAGGGGGUCUCCUUAUUGUUUAUGUCUCGGAGGAGAUAUGCUAUAUAGUAGCAUUAACAUUGCUUAUAUUGCAUCUGCUUUGCUUGCCAGAAAAAGGUUAGACAGAGAUGCUCAUUUCUUCUUCCUUGGGUCCUCUUGCUCUGAUUCGGUCUUGUUGAUCUUAGAAAUAUUUGACUGGCGAAUUGCCUGGCCGCCCCCCUCUAGAGGUCAUGUUCUUGUCUCCAGCUAUAUCAACUGCUUCAGUUCCCUCCAAGUUUACUUGGUUGUGGAUCGUUUCUCCUUGGACAUGUUGCUUUUGUGUGUGGCUGAGCUCUUCAUCUAUAAUUCUGAAAUUUCCCAAUGGAUAAUAGCUUGGCUUCUCAAGUUGAGGCAUUCUGGCAGUGUUAUCAUGUUGAAGCAAGCAUUCUCGCGGUCACUGAUGCAAUGGAAGAUUCCAUGGCUAUAUCCACCGCUGGAGUUUAGGUUUCAGUCUUGCCCCACUAGAAAAUCGUUCUUAUGUGGUUCUGGCUCCGCAAAAUUUCAGUGGGCAAUUGCAUGGCCAAGUGCAACAACUGGUGAGGCAUUCUCUGUUGGCUCUGAAAAAUUCCAAUGGGGAAUUGUUCGUAUGAUUUCCAAUGAAUUACUGCUCCCCAACAUGGGUGAGGAAAUCCUUCCAGCCAACUUAAUUGUCAUCUGCUAUUGCCUUGUUUGUGUUCCCGUUGGGUCCAAGUUUGGUACAUGA
rnacentral:rRNA from 1 species